GUUGGAGAGCAUCAGAGUUGUUUCCCCUUUUUGACUAUUACAGAUGAUUAUUCCACAGAACUGCCAUUGUCAUCAUGGCCCGUUCUCAACGAGCUGUUGGAUGAGUCUCACUGUAUUGCCCAGGUUGGUCUCUGACUCCUAGGCUCAAGCAAUCCUCCUGCCUCCACCUCCUGAAGUGCUGGGAUUACAGGUGUGAGCCACCUCACCUGGCCAUGCAGCUGAAAUUUAAUGGUUGCCAAUAUUCUGUCCUGAGACAUAAGUUACUUAAACAGCCAUGCUAUUGAUGAAUCUUUAGAAUGUCUUCAAUAUUUUUGCUAUUAUAAGUAGCAAAAUAAGUAUUAUUGUAGCUAAAUCUUUUACUUACCUAUAAUUGUUUCCUAAGAAGAGUAUUACAGAAGUGAAAUUACUGAGGCAAUUUUUAGGGCAUAGGGAACAUAUUGCCAAAUUGCUCCUCAGCAAGGUUUGUGCCAAUGCUGUGUCUCAAGCUGGGUAUGAAACAGCCUGUUCUCCAAACUAGGGACCUCCUCCUAGAUAUAAAACAAAACAAAAUCCUUAGUAUUUAAAUCUGUAUUUCUUUGAUUGCUAAGGGCCAGCAUGAGGGCAGCCACAGGGGUAUUUUGGGUCCCUGACGCUCCUCUGUUCUUCUGAGGCAGGAGGCAGAGAACCUAAGGCCGAUCCACGCUGGACUUCCUAGAACUAAAUCAAAUGGAAACACUUCAGCUACGACAGGAAAUAUCCUCUUCAUUUACAUAGGGCAUACACCAAGUAACCAAUGGAAACCUCUAGAGUAUAUUUCAACCCAGAAUACUCUGUAAUGGGGCUCUUGAGCCCCUAUGCUCGACGCCCCUAUGGGGUAUACUUUCAUUUUCAAUAAAUCUCUGUGUUUGUUGCUUCAUUCUUUCCUUGCUUUGUUUGUGUGUUUUGUCCAAUUCUUUGUUCAAGACGCCAAGAACCUGGACACCUUUAACUGGUAACAUAUCUUAGUGAACCAGCCAGGAGCAAUGUGUUUGUCUGCAUACAGUUAAGCAGGGCCACUAGGGCCACUCAGGGAGAAAGAACUCAGAAGCCUGACAUGCCAGCAAAAAGGUAAGAAUUUCUUACCAGUCAGACUCUGGUCUCUGUCUCUCUCUGCAAACUGGUUAAAUAAAUGGUAAAAGUCACUGUUUAUCUCCUCUGCAAAGUUUUGAUUAAUACAGAAAAAGAAUUCUGAGGCUGGUCUUAAACUGUAGUGAAUCCGGAGUGCUUUAUGUGACUUUCUAUACUGUUCUGUUAUAAAGAGGGGCACCUUAGGAUAAAAUGCAUGCCUGGGAACCUAUAGGCUCGCUAUUCAAGGCUGCCCAGCAAACUGGUCAGUCAUGUCCUUGGGAGCUUGACCUUGUAACCAUGUGGCCAUGCUUUCUCUUUUCACAAUGGCGGCCCAGGUUUAGGUUUCAAUUCCUGGCUUAGGGAAUGAGUCCUUUAUCUUCUGCCUGUCUGUGUAUUUAUAUGUGUUGUGUGUGUAAUGUAAAAGAGCUUUAAUUGAUUGGUUUAAUAAUAAUAAGAGUGUUGUGGGAAGUCAGGGACCCUGAACGGAGGGACCAGCUGGAGCUGUGGCAGAGGAACAUAAAUUGUGAAGAUUUCAUGGACAUGUAUCACUUCCCUAAUAAUACUCUUAUAAUUUCUUACACUUGUCUUACUUUAAUCUCUUAAUCCUGUUAUCUUCGUAAGCUGAGGAUGUACAUCACCUCAGGUCCACUGUGAUGAUUGCAUUAACUGUACAAAUUGAUUGUAAAACAUGUGUGUUUGAACAAUAUGAAAUUAGUGCACCUUGAAAACGAACAGAAUAACAGUGAUUUUAGGAAACAAGGGAAGAAAACCAUAACGUCUGACUGCCUGCGGGGUCGGGCAAAAAGAGCCAUAUUUUUCUUCUUGCAGAGAGUCCUAUAAAUGGACGUGCAAGUAGGUGAGAUAUCGCUAAAUUCUUUUCCUAGCAAGGAAGAUUGAUACUAAUACUCCAGGAAGAGAAUUACAUUCCUGGGGGGAGGUCUAUAAACGGCCACUCUGGGAGUGUCUGUCUUAUAUGGUUGAGUAAGGACUGAAAUAUGCCUUGGUCUCCUGCAGUACCCUCAGGCUUAUUAGGGUUGGGAAAAAACCCCACCCUGGUAAAUUUGAGGUCAGACCAGUUCUCUGCUGUCAAACUCUGUUUUCUGUUGUUUAAGAUGUUUAUCAAGACAAUACGUGCACAGCCGAACAUAGACCCUUAUCAGGAGUUCCUGAUUUUGUCCUUGCUCUGUUUCCUCAGAAGCAUGUGAUCUUUGUUCUCCUUUGUGCCCUUUGAAGCAUGUGAUUUUUGUGACCUACUCCCUGUUCUUACACCCCCUCCCCUUUUGAAAUCCCUAAUAAAAACUUGCUGGUUUUGCGGCUCAGGUGGGCAUCAUGGUCCUACAGAUAUGUGAUUCACCCCCAGCGGCCCAGCUGUAAAAUUCCUCUCUUUGUACUCUUUCUCUUUAUUUCUCAGACCAGCCAACACUUAGGGAAAAUAGAAAGAACCUACAUUGAAAUACUGGGGGCGGGUUCCCCUGAUAUAAGAGCUUAAAUAUUUUGUCAGAAAAGUAGAAAGUGUAAUGCCUUUUUAAAAAUUUUAUUUUAUUUUUGAGAUGGAGUCUCUCUCUGUCGCCAGGCUGGAGUGCAGUGGCAUGAUCCCGGUCACUGCAACCUCUCUCUGCCUCCCAGGUUCAAGUGAUUCUCCUGUCUCAGCCUCUUGAGUAGCUGGGACUACAGGCAUGAGCCACCACGCCUGGCUAAUUUUGUAUUUUUAGUAGAGAUGAGCUUUCACCAUAUUGGUCAGGCUGGUCUUGAACUCCUGACCUCAGGUGAUCCACCCUCCUCAGCCUCCCAAAGUGCUGGGAUUACAGGCAUAAGCCACAGCACCCGGCCAUCCAAUGCCUUUUAUUUAGUUCAUGUGACUUAAGUAAUCUUUGGGAACAAAGACAGUUUUAAAGAUUAUUGGUAAAAUAAAAAUAUCUUCAAAAAUUGUAAACAUUUGGCUUAAAUUAUGCAGGUCAGAUACUAGGUUUGCUAAAUACUUUAGGUCAUAAACUGCUUCUUUGACUUUUAAAAAUUGUUCAAUUUAUUUUGGAGCAUUAGAUUCUAGAUAAGGCCUGGGGAUGUGUGAAAUUAGCCAUGCCCCCUAGCUAUGCAAAGAAGGUUAUAAAGAAAAGAUAUUUUACAUACGAAAGGAUCUUAUAUGGUAAAUUUUUGUCCUAAAGUAAAAUAAUUGGUUGUUUAAAAGAGGAAUGUUUAGGACAAAUCAGAAAGUCCAAGCAUGUCAUACAUCGUCUGUGUAUGUCAUGAAAGAAUUUAUGAAAGAGAAUUUAUGCAAGAAAUGUACUAUUUAAAGGUGAUUAGGCCACCUAAAUGCUUCAUAAAAUGACACCAUGACUCUUAAUUGUACAACCUGCCUGCUUUACAGCUAGGUAAGACCUGGGACAUGUGGAGUUAGACACUGGAAGAAGUCAGACUUUAUUUGCACUUCUGUGUGGGUCCUAGGCUCCACACCUUGUACAUAAUUAAAAUCCUAAACUUGGCCGGGCGCAGUGGCUGAUGCCUGUAAUCCCAGCACUUUGGGAGGCUGAGGCAGGUGGAUCACGAGGUCAGGAGAUUGAGACCAUCCUGGCUAACAUGAUGAAACCUCGUCUCUACUAAAAAUACAAAACAUUAGCUGGGCGUCAUGGCGGGUGCCUGUAGUCCCAGCUACUCAGGAGGCUGAGGCAGGAGAAUGGCGUGAACCUGGCAGUCAGAGCCAAGAUCAUGCCACUGCAUUCCAACCUGGGUGACAGAGCGAGACACUGUCCCAAAAAAAAAAAAAAAAUCCUAAACUUACCAAGGUUUUCACUAAAAGUAAAGUUGCAAAGAGUUAACAUUGUAACAUGUAAUCAAGACUACUGAAGAAACUGUUUUACAUGCAAGGUGUGUAAGAAGAGUAAAAUGUGUUAUUGGUAAAAGAUUAUAAGAAGGCAUGGGAAUGUGGAUUUUUUUUUUUUGCCAAGUGUUAAAGAAUUGUUUUAAGUUAAGAUAAAUCUAAAGGUUUGAACAAGUUGUGGAAGGUUUUUAAAAAAUAAAUCUUAUAAAAAAUUCUGUGUGUGAAAUAUUAAUAUAUGUUCCAAAAUUGUAUGGGAUUUCCAAAAUUCUAAUAUGUCUGAGUAUAUGCUAUCAAUCAUAAUUAUGGUUAUUAUGUUAACUGAUUGUAAACCACAGAAAUAACUAAAUUUCCUUGUAUAAAGCUACUAAUCCAAGUAGAACAAAAAAUUAAUUAAAUACUAAGAAAAUAUUUUGUCAGAUUUUCAUGUUAAACCAGCUGAUACUGAAAUUGUUUAGAUAUACAAUUUGAAUGAACUCCAUGGUCUAAGUCAAAUUACUUAUGAUAACCCAUCAGUUACCAGUGCUAUUCAAAUAAUUUGAAGAAACAACUGGUAUUCAAGAGGAUAUAAGUCUAAUGUUAAUUAAGCAUGGACUCAUGGAGAACCAGGAUGACCACCUUGUCCUUCUUGAGUCCUUCAAGGUUUUAUUAUUAAAAGUUCUGCAUUCCACAACUCAUCAUGGAAAAGAUAAAAUGAUCCAAAUUGAAUAUAUUGGUGUGGUGACUUAUACAUUGCUAAAAUAGUUUAUAACCAAUGUUUGGUCCCAUAUUUCUGGGAAAACAAUCAAAGCUUCAGGUACAUUUGGUCACCUGAUGGGCCAUUUAAACAUUUUAUAAAGGAAUUUCUUUCAAUUGUUAUUUUCUUUUUUCUUUUUUUUUUUGGGGAGUCUCUCUCUGCCACCCAGACUGGAGUGCAGUGGCAUGAUCUCAGCUCACUGCAACCUCUGCCUCCCAGGCUCAAGGGAUUCUCCUGCCUCAGCCUCCUGAGUAGCUGGGAUUACAGGCACGUGCCACCACACCCAGCUAAUUUUUGUAUUUUUAGUAGAGAUGGGGUUUCACCAUGUUGGCCAGGCUGGUCUCGAACUCCUGGCCUCAAGUGACUGGCCCACCUCAGCCUCCCAAAGUGUAGGGAUUACAGGCAUGAGCCACUGCACCCUGCCUCAAUUGUUAUUUUCAAUGCAUGUUUUCUGGUUGUAUAAAAGCUUUCCGAUGCAAGAGGGCUGAUGUUAUAACAGUAGAUUAUUAUGCUAUGGUAUAUUUUCACCAGGUAAAGAAAGCUUUUUAUGGUUUGGAUCUUCUGAGAACAUCAGAGAAAGACUGUCCUUGCCAUCCACACUACAGCAAAAUUUUGGGACCUUGAACUUUGGGUUUAUAAUCUCACAACUGAGAAGGGUCCCUCCACAUUCUUGGAACUGUAUAUCCAUUGGAAUCCUUAAGGUAAAGCUAACUAGGGAAGUUUCUCCCCAGAAUAAGAUGGCAUACUUGAUGUGAACAGCUUUUCCCAGGAUCAUGAAUCAAGACUUCUCAACUAUCAUGAGAUCCUUAUCUUUGAAUAUUUUUUUCCUUGCCUAUGCCACUACGAAUAAUAGAAGUGGAAAAGGGGUCUGUUAUGUGCACUUAUGGGGUAUACUUUUAUUUGUGAAGGAGUUUGCAGCUAGUCUUAUACAUGGAUAACCUUGUACUUUGAUAGAUAAAAGAUGGAGGCCCAAUGUAGGUGAGAAACCUUAAUGGUACAUACAUUGCCUCACAAUCAGUCAGAAACAGAACAUUGGUUCACUCCUCUUAAUGCACAUCAUAGGUUAAAGAGAACAUUGUCAGGAGGCCUUCACUCUUCUAGAAGGGCAUCAUUAGUUAGGUCCUUUUCCAUGGUUUGGAGUAAAAUAAGCAAUGAUUAGAAAUGUAUCCCUCAAGAUAGGCUCUAUAGCAAAUUCUACUGUAAAGGCUACAGUUACACAACAGACUUUAAGUUCUCUUGUGAAGGUUAUGAUCGAAUUGGCUGAACAGAGAAGUAUCUGUGAAGCUGCUGGCCCUCAUGGCCUAUGGAAAAAACAUUGGGUAUUAUAGAGAUUCAGUUGUAGCAGAUUAACGAAGACCCUGCUUAGUUAAGUGAGUAGACUCUUUACGUAGCUCAUUCUUUAAUCUAUUUAAUUUUAGGAGGUUUGGUUUAUGGGGACCCUGGGUAAGGAGCAUACUCCAAACUCUUGGUAUUAUCCUCCCAAUAGUCAUGAUAAUAGUCUCCCUGGUGCACUGUAUUCUCUCAGACAUUUUAAAUAUUUGCAUGCAGCCAUCUCUAGAAUGUCAGAUGGUCUCUCUUCAACUGGAAUGACAAGAGCUGAAAGAAAUGUGUGACCAUGAGGACACCAUAACCUAUGAAUGAUGUUCUGAGACUAGAAACCCAAAAUGAUGGUAACUGAGAGUGGUGCUAAGGCCGUAAGUUUUGGUCACGUUCUCACCUAGGUGAGAACGUGACCAAAAAGGGGUAAUUUUUUUUAAACAAAAUUAUGGGAGGCCAUUGUUUUGAACUGAGCUCAUGCACUAGGCCCCAACAGACCAAACCAAACCAAAAUGGAGUCGCUCAUGUUAAGACUUUAAGGAAACACAUAGAUCCUAGAACAGAUCACAGACCAGGUUUUGUUAUUCUCCUGCAAAUCUCUAUAACAAACAUUCCUGACAGCAAAGGUACCCAGCCCCUGAAGUUCCCAUUAAAUCUUUUAACCAAAUUCAUUUCCUCUUACUCAGAGACCAUCAAGCUUCAGAUGAUCAUGCAACAUGGGUUCCAGCCAGUUCCAAGUGAAGAGACCACCCCCGGCCAUCAAGGAACUAUCCUCCCUCCACUAAACAGAGCAGGGCUAGCGUUCCAUGAUCCCCAAUAGGUAGGGACUAUGCCCUAAGCCAGCAUAAAGUAGUUAAAGAAGAAAGACCAUCCGUUCCUCUGCCUUCUAUAAAGAUUUAUGGGGUCACAUCUCUCAGGGGAGAAAUAAGGCAGGAGAAUAUGGUCUGGAGGCAGGGAACCUAAGGCCAAUUCAUGCUGGACUUCCUAGAAGUGAAUCAAAUGGAAACACUUCAGCUAUGACAGGGAAUAUCCUCUCCAUUUACAUAGGGCAUACACCGAGUAUCCAAUGGAAACCUCUAGAGGGUAUUUAGACCCCAGGAAAUUCUGUAAUGGGGCUCUUCAACCCCUAUGCUUGGGCCACUCCCACCCUGUGUGGUGUGUACUUUUGUUUUCAAUAAAUCUCUGCUUUUGUUGCUU
rnacentral:lncRNA from 1 species